rnacentral:rRNA from 1 species
GGCGAACGGGUGAGUAAUAUAUCGGAACGUACCCAGGAGUGGGGGAUAACGUAGCGAAAGUUACGCUAAUACCGCAUACGUCCUAAGGGAGAAAGCGGGGGAUCGCAAGACCUCGUGCUCAUGGAGCGGCCGAUAUCUGAUUAGCUAGUUGGUGGGGUAAAAGCCUACCAAGGCAACGAUCAGUAGCUGGUCUGAGAGGACGACCAGCCACACUGGAACUGAGACACGGUCCAGACUCCUACGGGAGGCAGCAGUGGGGAAUUUUGGACAAUGGGGGCAACCCUGAUCCAGCAAUGCCGCGUGAGUGAAGAAGGCCCUCGGGUUGUAAAGCUCUUUUGUCAGGGAAGAAAAGGUUGGGGCUAAUAUCCCGGACUCAUGACGGUACCUGAAGAAUAAGCACCGGCUAACUACGUGCCAGCAGCCGCGGUAAUACGUAGGGUGCAAGCGUUAAUCGGAAUUACUGGGCGUAAAGCGUGCGCAGGCGGUUUUGUAAGACUGUCGUGAAAUCCCCGGGCUUAACCUGGGAAUGGCGAUGGUGACUGCAAGGCUAGAGUUUGGCAGAGGGGGGUAGAAUUCCACGUGUAGCAGUGAAAUGCGUAGAUAUGUGGAGGAACACCGAUGGCGAAGGCAGCCCCCUGGGUCAAAACUGACGCUCAUGCACGAAAGCGUGGGGAGCAAACAGGAUUAGAUACCCUGGUAGUCCACGCCCUAAACGAUGUCUACUAGUUGUCGGGUCUUAAUUGACUUGGUAACGCAGCUAACGCGUGAAGUAGACCGCCUGGGGAGUACGGUCGCAAGAUUAAAACUCAAAGGAAUUGACGGGGACCCGCACAAGCGGUGGAUGAUGUGGAUUAAUUCGAUGCAACGCGAAAAACCUUACCUACCCUUGACAUGGCAGGAAUCCCGGAGAGAUCUGGGAGUGCUCGAAAGAGAACCUGNACACAGGUGCUGCAUGGCUGUCGUCAGCUCGUGUCGUGAGAUGUUGGGUUAAGUCCCGCAACGAGCGCAACCCUUGUCAUUAGUUGCUACGAAAGGGCACUCUAAUGAGACUGCCGGUGACAAACCGGAGGAAGGUGGGGAUGACGUCAAGUCCUCAUGGCCCUUAUGGGUAGGGCUUCACACGUCAUACAAUGGUACAUACAGAGGGCCGCCAACCCGCGAGGGGGAGCUAAUCCCAGAAAGUGUAUCGUAGUCCGGAU